rnacentral:rRNA from 1 species
AUUGAACGCUGGCGGCAGGCCUAACACAUGCAAGUCGAACGGUAACAGGAAGAAGCUUGCUUCUUUGCUGACGAGUGGCGGACGGGUGAGUAAUGUCUGGGAAACUGCCUGAUGGAGGGGGAUAACUACUGGAAACGGUAGCUAAUACCGCAUAAUGUCGCAAGACCAAAGAGGGGGACCUUCGGGCCUCUUGCCAUCGGAUGUGCCCAGAUGGGAUUAGCUAGUAGGUGGGGUAACGGCUCACCUAGGCGACGAUCCCUAGCUGGUCUGAGAGGAUGACCAGCCACACUGGAACUGAGACACGGUCCAGACUCCUACGGGAGGCAGCAGUGGGGAAUAUUGCGCAAUGGGCGCAAGCCUGAUGCAGCCAUGCCGCGUGUAUGAAGAAGGCCUUCGGGUUGUAAAGUACUUUCAGCGGGGAGGAAGGGAGUAAAGUUAAUACCUUUGCUCAUUGACGUUACCCGCAGAAGAAGCACCGGCUAACUCCGUG